rnacentral:rRNA from 1 species
AGUAACGCGUGGGGAACCUACCCUAUACAGGGGGAUAACAGCUGGAAACGGCUGCUAAUACCGCAUAAGCGCACAGAAUCGCAUGAUUCAGUGUGAAAAGCCCUGGCAGUAUAGGAUGGUCCCGCGUCUGAUUAGCUGGUUGGUGGGGUAACGGCUCACCAAGGCGACGAUCAGUAGCCGGCUUGAGAGAGUGAACGGCCACAUUGGGACUGAGACACGGCCCAA